AGAGUUUGAUCAUGGCUCAGGAUGAACGCUAGCUACAGGCUUAACACAUGCAAGUCGAGGGGAAACGACAUCGAAAGCUUGCUUUUGAUGGGCGUCGACCGGCGCACGGGUGAGUAACGCGUAUCCAACCUGCCCACCACUUGGGGAUAACCUUGCGAAUGUAAGACUAAUACCCAAUGACGUCUCUAGAAGACAUCUGAAAGAGGUUAAAGAUUUAUCGGUGAUGGAUGGGGAUGCGUCUGAUUAGCUUGUUGGCGGGGUAACGGCCCACAAGGCGACGAUCAGUAGGGGUUCUGAGAGGAAGGUCCCCCANAUUGGAACUGAGACCACGGUCCAAACUCCGUACGGAGGCA
rnacentral:rRNA from 1 species